GAUGAAGAACGCAGCGAAAUGCGAUACGUAAUGUGAAUUGCAGAUUUCAGUGAAUCAUCGAAUCUUUGAACGCACAUUGCGCCCGCUAGUAUUCUGGCGGGCAUGCCUGUCUGAGCGUCAUUUCAACCCUCGCCCCCGGCUUUUGCUGGGAGCGGUGUUGGGGAUCGGCCGCCCGUCACUGGGAGGCCGGCCCCGAAAUAGAGUGGCGACCACGCCGUGUGCUCCUCUGCGUAGUAGUAAAUCACCUCGCAGGCGGACAGCGGUGCGGCCUGCCGUAAAACCCCCAACUCUUUCUGGUUGACCUCAGAUCAGGUAGGAAUACCCGCUGAACUUAAGCAUAUCAAUAAGCGGAGGA
rnacentral:misc_RNA from 1 species